UACAAGUACCCGUGAGGGAAAGUUGCAAAGCACUUUGAAGAGAGAGUUAAAGAGUACGUGAAAUCGGUAAGGUGGAAACGAAUAGAGCUGACGUAUUUUGGUUGUGUUCAGCCGUUGAUUGUGCUCGUCCGCUGGUCGGUGCUGGCUGGAGAAUUUCGGUUUUCUGGUCGUGUACUUGCUGGUUGGUAUGGGUCUUUCGGUGGUGCAUUCACGAUCAUGUAUGCAUUGAAACGUAUGCGGUGGACAUUCGACGUGUGGUGGAAGAGGCUAUCCCUUCGGGGGUAAAACCGGCCCUGUGCUGAAGGUGUUUCGUCGUGUAUGUAGUCUUCGAUCGAUGCAAAUGUCGUAGUGGUUGUUUUUUUGGAUUGUGGCGGUCGCAUGCGACACGCGCAGUUCGAGGAUGCUAUCGUUGCGAUGUUGUGUUGGUUAUUUUCAAUGUAAAAGUCGGUCAUCUAUUCGACCCGUCUUGAAACACGGACCAAGGAGUUUAACGUAUGUGCAAGUGAUUGGGUGUUAAAACCUAAACGCGAAUUGAAAGAGAAUCCGUCCUCGUGAUGGUGAUAUGCGAUCUGUUGUACUUCGGUGCAGCGGCGUAGCAUAGCCCCAUUCCUGUUGCUUGCAACGGAGUGGAGGUAGAGCAUAUACGUUGAGACCCGAAAGAUGGUGAACUAUGCCUGAGCAGGACGAAGACAGAGGAAACUCUGGUGGAAGUCCGAAUCGGUUCUGACGUGCAAAUCGAUCGUCUGACUUGGGUAUAG
rnacentral:rRNA from 1 species